AUUGAACGCUGGCGGCAGGCCUAACACAUGCAAGUCGAGCGGUAACACAGGGAGCUUGCUCCUGGGUGACGAGCGGCGGACGGGUGAGUAAUGUCUGGGAAACUGCCUGAUGGAGGGGGAUAACUACUGGAAACGGUAGCUAAUACCGCAUAAUGUCGCAAGACCAAAGAGGGGGACCUUCGGGCCCCUUGCCAUCAGAUGUGCCCAGAUGGGAUUAGCUAGUAGGUGGGGUAACGGCUCACCUAGGCGACGAUCCCUAGCUGGUCUGAGAGGAUGAACAGCCGGACUGGAACUGAGACACGGUCCAGACUCCUACGGGAGGCAGCAGUGGGGAAUAUUGCACAAUGGGAGCAAGCCUGAUGCAGCCAUGCCGCGUGUAUGAAGAAGGCCUUCGGGUUGUAAAGUACUUUCAGCGGGGAGGAAGGCGAUAAGGUUAAUAACCUUGUCGAUUGACGUUACCCGCAGAAGAAGCACCGGCUAACUCCGUGCCAGCCGCCGCAGUAA
rnacentral:rRNA from 1 species